rnacentral:snoRNA from 1 species
AUCCUUUUCCAAUCCAUUAGCAUGAUUUUUGUGUGACAUGUGCCUCCCUUAAAUCUUGUUAUGCAUUUGGCACAAUUACCCAUCUGAUG